UUUUCUACUUGUUUUAAUCUACAUGUGUUUUAAUCUGAAGAGUUUGGGGAGUAGGGACAACCUGAGGAAAAGAGGAAAAAAAGCAAGAUCUGCUUUCUCCCAGCCAUAAAUGAGAUUCCAAGAGAGCAGGGAGCAGGGAAUGGCCUGGUGAGCAGGAGAGUAUGUGUUUCUGUCCAGCAUGACUCCUUGGCGGUGCACCACACAGAACUGAGAAGGGACAAAGAAAGAGGAAGCCAGGAAUCAACCCUGGUCCAGUACGCCGAAAGAACCAACCACACAGAGAGGCGAAAAUCUCUCAUAGCUAAUUAAAUACUACAGUGAAUGAUGGACAAAGUCACUUCCUUGUUUUAGGGUAAAGCCUUAAACAUGGCAGACCACAAGAGUAGGAGCAUCAGGGAAUGGAGAAGAGGAGGAACCCAAAUGCAUUAAGACAAAAAUCCACUCAGGGAGCAGUUGAAGUCUUCGUCCUAUUCCAAUCUCUGGAGAGACAGACAUUUUUCUCCUGUUCAUCUUUGAAUCCAUCCCUCAGGCCUGGAACAUGACUGGCAUAUUUGUGGAAUAAAUAGUUAGCAUUUGGAGUCCUUUUCCUGACUGAAAGUUGCUUUCUGUAUGAAGAAGCCUUCAGCCUCCUUCUGGCCUCAUCAAUGAGUUUUUCUCUUAUUUUUG
rnacentral:sRNA from 1 species